GCAUAACGCGAAGAACCUUACCAGGCCUUGACAUGCAGAGAACUUUCCAGAGAUGGAUUGGUGCCUUCGGGAACUCUGACACAGGUGCUGCAUGGCUGUCGUCAGCUCGUGUCGUGAGAUGUUGGGUUAAGUCCCGUAACGAGCGCAACCCGUUGUCCUUAGUUACCAGCACGUUAUGGUGGGCACGUCUAAGGAGACUGCCGGUGACAAACCGGAGGAAGUGGGGAUGACGUCAAGUCAGUCAUGGCCCUUACGGCCUGGGCUACACACGUGCUACAAUGGUCGGUACAGAGGGUUGCCAAGCCGCGAGGUGGAGCUAAAUCUCACAAAACCCGGAUCGUAAGUCCGGAUCGCAGUCUGCAACUCGACUGCGUGAAGUCGGAAUCGCUAGUAAUCGCGAAUCAGAAUGUCGCGGUG
rnacentral:rRNA from 1 species